rnacentral:rRNA from 1 species
AUUGAACGCUGGCGGCAUGCCUUACACAUGCAAGUCGAACGGCAGCACGGGAGCAAUCCUGGUGGCGAGUGGCGAACGGGUGAGUAAAGUAUCGGAACGUGCCCCGUCGUGGGGGAUAACGUAGCGAAAGUUACGCUAAUACCGCAUACGAUCUAUGGAUGAAAGCGGGGGAUCGCAAGACCUCGCGCGAUUGGAGCGGCCGAUAUCAGAUUAGGUGGUUGGUGGGGUAAAGGCUCACCAAGCCGACGAUCUGUAGCUGGUCUGAGAGGACGACCAGCCACACUGGGACUGAGACACGGACCAGACUCCUACGGUAGGCAGCAGUGGGGAAUUUUGGCCAAUGGGCGCAAGUCUGAUCCAGCCAUGCCGCGUGCAGGAUGAAGGCCUUCGGGUUGUAAACUGCUUUUGUACGGAACGAAAAGGUUUGGCUUAAUACGUUGAACUCAUGACGGUACCGUAAGAAUAAGCACCGGCUAACUACGUGCCAGCAGCCGCCGUAA